AUAGUACCUCGACCUUACAGAAGACCACAGCUAGAUAAUACUGUUUUAAAGCAGUAUUGUGUUCCUGUUGGUGAGUGUAGUGAGCAGAGCUCCUGAGAGGAUUGGGGAUAGGGUCGGCAACGCGCAUGUAAUGUUUCUGGUGUUGCAGGCGUCUAUAAGCUAUCAGGCUUCUCGAGAUAUUGCGCAUUCCAUGCUGCGCCCUACAUCAGUUAAACAAACAAGUUGAACGUCAGUUAAAUAAACAUCAAAUCAUAAAAAUUACAAUCAAUUUUUGAUCAAGUUAUUUAUUUUACUUUUAUCUACGUAGAUGUAUUUCGCGACAAGCUUUUAUAUUAUCUAUGUUGUGUAAUGACGUUAUGUGUUAAUAGUAAAAGUUUUAUAUGGAAAGUUUAUUUUAUUAUUUUUAGUGCAUUUAAAUAAAAUUUGAUUUUUAAAAAAGU
rnacentral:misc_RNA from 1 species